UACGUAGGGGGCAAGCGUUGUCCGGAUUUAUUGGGCGUAAAGAGCGUGUAGGCGGCCAGGUAGGUCUGGUGUGAAAACUCGAGGCUCAACCUCGAGAGGUCAUCGGAAACCAUUUGGCUAGAGUCCGGAAGAGGAGAGUGGAAUUCCUGGUGUAGCGGUGAAAUGCGCAGAUAUCAGGAAGAACACCCGUGGCGAAGGCGGCUCUCUGGGACGGUACUGACGCUGAGACGCGAAAGCGUGGGGAGCGAACAGG
rnacentral:rRNA from 1 species